rnacentral:sRNA from 1 species
UAACGAAUAGGAAGCCACUUGAGCUUAA